rnacentral:rRNA from 1 species
UACGGAGGGUGCAAGCGUUAUCCGGAUUCACUGGGUUUAAAGGGCGCGUAGGCGGCUUGAUAAGCGUGCGGUGAAAGCCCGGGGCUCAACCCCGGGUCGGCCGUGCGAACUGGUCGAGCUGGAGCACUGUAGAGGCAGGUGGAAUUCCGGGUGUAGCGGUGGAAUGCGUAGAGAUCCGGAAGAACACCGGUGGCGAAGGCGGCCUGCUGGGCAGUGGCUGACGCUGAGGCGCGACAGCGUGGGGAG